GGAAAGGUUUCCUUCUGUGCGUUACAUACAUCCACUUUGUACACAUAUACAAUAUAUCCUAUUUACUCUUCGAGUACCGGUUAUAAAAACAUAUCGGUUAAUUCAUUAAUUUCACUACAGAGGUGAUUCGGGUAAAGAGCACUCAAAACGAGAAGGGACGUUUAAGACACUUCUUACGCGUCACAACUUUUAUACCCGGCAUUCAGUAUUACCUACAUGUGCACCUUAUCCGUUAUUUGUCAAAUUUUACAUUUUUUUUUCAUCUGUCAUCUACAUCUAAAACACUUCUCACACCAACACGCUCCUUUAGCUCGCCGCCCUUCCCCUAGACCCACACACUGCAGACUCGCGGCAGAGGCAGAGGCAGCGCCCGCACACAAAAAAAACAAAUAUAAGCUGUGGGACGGGGUGGGUUAAAAGUCGGUAGAG
rnacentral:lncRNA from 1 species